UGUCCAAUUAUCUGAGGAACCACUAGA
rnacentral:piRNA from 1 species